rnacentral:rRNA from 1 species
AAGUCCCGUAACGAGCGCAACCCUCGUCUCUAGUUGCUACCAUUUAGUUGGGCACUCUAGAGAAACUGCCGGUGAUAAGCCGGAGGAAGGUGGGGAUGACGUCAAGUCCUCAUGGCCCUUACGCGCUGGGCUACACACGUGCUACAAUGGCGGUGACAGUGAGCAGCGACCCCGCGAGGGUGAGCUAAUCUCCAAAAGCCGUCUCAGUUCGGAUUGUUCUCUGCAACUCGAGAGCAUGAAGGCGGAAUCGCUAGUAAUCGCGGAUCAGCAUGCCGCGGUGAAUACGUUCCCAGGCCUUGUACACACCGCCCGU